rnacentral:rRNA from 1 species
AGAAUGAACGCUGGCGGCAUGGCUAAGACAUGCAAGUCGAACGGACCAUAUAAUUGGGUAACCGAAAGUAUGGUUAGUGGCGAAAGGGUGAGGAAUAGAUAGGAACGUACCCUGUGCUCUGGGAUAGCGUCUGAAGCUUCGGCUUCUUCCGAAAGGGGCGGUAAUACCAGAUAAUGUCCUUCGGGACCAAAGAUUUAUCGGCAUUGGAGCGGCCUAUCUCCUAUCAGCUUGUUGGUGAGGUAACGGCUCACCAAGGCAACGACGGGUAGCGGGACUGAGAGGUUGGCCCGCCACAUCGGGACUGAGACACUGCCCGGACCUCCACGGAGGGCUGCAGUAACGGAUAUUGGGCAAUGGGCGAAAGCCUGACCCAGCAAUGCCGCGUGCAGGAUGAAGCCCCUAGGGGUGUAAAACUGCUGUCAGGGGUCAGAAAGCUGGUUUCGGCCAGUUGAUCAACCCCAGAGGAAGUCACGGCUAACUUCGUGCCAGCAGCCGCGGUAAUACGAAAGGUGGCAAGCGUUAUUCGGAAUCAUUGGGCUUAAAGGGCACGCAGGCGGAACAGUGUGUGUUGUGUGAAAUCCCCCGGCUUAACCGGGGAAUUGCACAGCAAACUGCUGUUCUUGAGGCAGGUAGGGGUGCAUGGAACUCUUGGUGGAGCGGUGGAAUGCGUAGAUAUCAAGAGGAACGCCAGAGGUGAAGACGGUGCACUGGGCCUGUCCUGACGCUGAGGUGCGAAAGCGUGGGGAGCGAACGGGAUUAGAUACCCCGGUAGUCCACGCCGUAAACGAUGUCUACUAGGUCGUGGGUGUUCUGACACAUUCACGGCCGGAGCAAAAGUGUUUAGUAGACCGCCUGGGGAGUACGNCCGCAAGGUUAAAACUCAAAUGAAUUGACGGGGGCUCACACAAGCGGUGGAGCAUGUGGAUUAAUUCGAAGCAACGCGCAGAACCUUACCUGGGUUUGACAUGCUUGUAUGCCUUCUCUGAAAGGAGUUAGGCUGCCUUCGGGUGAAACUUGCACAGGUGCUGCAUGGCUGUCGUCAGCUCGUGUCGUGAGAUGUCGGGUUAAGUCCUUUAACGAGCGAAACCCUUGCCGUUAGUUGCCAGCGAGUAAUGUCGGGGACUCUAACGGGACUGCCGGUGUUAAACCGGAGGAAGGUGGGGAUGACGUCAAGUCCUCAUGGCCUUUAUGCCCAGGGCUUCACACGUGCUACAAUGGCAAUUACAGAGCGACGCGAUACCGCGAGGUGGAGCAAAUCGCAAAAAAAUUGCCUCAGUUCGGAUUGCAGGCUGGCAAUU